GAUGAACGCUGGCGGCGUGCCUAAUACAUGCAAGUCGAGCGAACAGACGAGGAGCUUGCUCCUCUGACGUUAGCGGCGGACGGGUGAGUAACACGUGGAUAACCUACCUAUAAGACUGGGAUAACUUCGGGAAACCGGAGCUAAUACCGGAUAAUAUAUUGAACCGCAUGGUUCAAUAGUGAAAGACGGUUUUGCUGUCACUUAUAGAUGGAUCCGCGCCGCAUUAGCUAGUUGGUAAGGUAACGGCUUACCAAGGCAACGAUGCGUAGCCGACCUGAGAGGGUGAUCGGCCACACUGGAACUGAGACACGGUCCAGACGCCUACGAGAGGCAGCAGUAGGGAAUCUUACGCAAUGGGCGAAAACCUGACGGAACAACGCCGCGUGAGUGAUGAAGGUCUUCGGAUCGUAAAACUCUGCUAUUAGGGAAGAACCAAUGUGUAAGUAACUAUGCACGUCUUGACGGUACCUAAUCAGAAAGCCACGGCUAACUACGUG
rnacentral:rRNA from 1 species